AGCUCCAAUAGCGUAUAUUAAAGUUGCUGCGGUUAAAAAGCUCGUAGUUGGAUCUCAGUUACGGGCGAGCGGUCCACCAUAUGGUGGCACUGCUCGAUCCGAACAUUCUGCCGGCUCCUCCGGCAUGCUCUUCACCGAGUGUGCCGGGAGACCGGAACGUUUACUUUGAAAAAAUUAGAGUGCUCAAAGCAGGCGCACGCCUGAAUACUGGUGCAUGGAAUAAUGGAAUAGGGCCUCGGUUCUAUUUUGUUGGUUUUCGGAACUUGAGGUAAUGAUUAAUAGGGACAGACGGGGGCAUUCGUAUUGCGACGUUAGAGGUGAAAUUCUUAGAUCGUCGCAAGACGAACUACUGCGAAAGCAUUUGCCAAGAAUGUUUUCAUUAAUCAAGAACGAAAGUAGG
rnacentral:rRNA from 1 species